rnacentral:rRNA from 1 species
AACGAACGCUGGCGGCAUGCCUAACACAUGCAAGUCGAACGAAGUCUUCGGACUUAGUGGCGCACGGGUGCGUAACGCGUGGGAAUCUGCCCUUGGGUGCGGAGUAACUUCUCGAAAGGGAUGCUAAUACCGCAUAAUGUCGUAAGACCAAAGAUUUAUCGCCCAAGGAUGAGCCCGCGUAAGAUUAGCUAGUUGGUGGGGUAAAAGCCUACCAAGGCGACGAUCUUUAGCUGGUCUGAGAGGAUGAUCAGCCACACUGGGACUGAGACACGGCCCAGACUCCUACGGGAGGCAGCAGUGGGGAAUAUUGGACAAUGGGCGAAAGCCUGAUCCAGCAAUGCCGCGUGAGUGAUGAAGGCCUUAGGGUUGUAAAGCUCUUUUACCCGGGAUGAUAAUGACAGUACCGGGAGAAUAAGCUCCGGCUAACUCCGUGCCAGCAGCCGCGGUAAU